rnacentral:miRNA from 1 species
AGAAGUUGUUAGCUGGUAGG